rnacentral:rRNA from 1 species
AGUGAACGCUGGCGGUAGGCCUAACACAUGCAAGUCGAACGGCAGCACAGGAGAGCUUGCUCCUGGUGGCGAGUGGCGAACGGGUGAGUAAUAUAUCGGAACGUACCCAGUAGUGGGGGAUAGCCCGGCGAAAGCCGGAUUAAUACCGCAUACGAUCUACGGAUGAAAGCGGGGGAUCGCAAGACCUCGCGCUAUUGGAG